CCUACGGGAGGCAGCAGUGGGGAAUAUUGCACAAUGGGGGGAAACCCUGAUGCAGCGACGCAGCGUGCGGGAUGACGGCCUUCGGGUUGUAAACCGCUUUCAGCAGGGAAGAAGCGCAAGUGACGGUACCUGCAGAAGAAGUACCGGGCUAACUACGGGGCCAGCAGCCGCGGUAAUA
rnacentral:rRNA from 1 species